rnacentral:tRNA from 10 species
AUGACUUGUCUAGAUCUUAGGCAACAAUUCUCUUAGCACAUCAGCUCCUGGAAACAAAUGCACUUAACCAGAAAAACAGGGACAUCAACCAGCAAAGAUGCAUCCUCAUUUAAUAGAGCUUGAAAUUACUAUAAUCUGUAAAGUACAGCGAGAAGAAGAAGUUUCACCUGCCUGCACAUCUGUCGUUGACUCUCCAUCUGACUUGGAGGGACUCUGAGGGACCAACCUGAGCCUGAGAAGAGGCAAGAUUCCCCUUCAAGGACACACUGGGAACUUACGGACCUCUUUCUCCAUGGUGCAGAGCGCAGAGGCUACCUGAGAAUAUCCAGAGACUACAGAGGUCAUCAAGUUGACGCAUCAAUGUUUACAUGCCAUCUCCGCCAGGAAUUCGGGGCUAAGGUGAACAAACAGACGCAUAAUAGCUCUUGAGCUUGCCAUUGGGAAGUGAAAAUCAACUGCUUGAAUAAAUGUAAGGACUCAGGACACCAGACAUGGGUGCUCCAAUCCACGUAGUGUUGAGGCAGUGAAGUUUGUGUUCCAGGAACUUCAGAACUCCUGAAUGUAUUGGUGUUGAUAAAAGGUGAUGAGAUGAAGUAGAAUGACCAUAAACUUAGAGGUAGACAUCACCUUGUGACUCAACAGCAGCCAAUAAGAUGGAAAUAAAGGCCAUGAAGUUAUCGGAUGGCAUCUACAAGGAAUACUUAGAUGAGGAGGUGACUCUGGUAGCAAUUGUUCUUUUGUCUUUCUCACCUUCCUUCUUGUCCUGUCUGGGAUGCUGAAGUGAUGGCUGGUAUACAGAUGCCCUGUUGUGAUGUUGAGAUAAACAUGAGAAUAAAAGUCGGCGAUUACAGAUGGCAGAGAAGAGAGAGAAAGAUAGGAUGUAGGUGGAUAUUGACGGAACUAAGUUUCUAUUGCACAAGUUCUACCACCAACCUCUGGACUUCAUGAUAUGUGAGGGAGAAAUAAACUCCUAUUUUAGAAGAGAUCUAUGUUACCUGCAACUGAACGGAAUGCUUAAUUGGCACAUCCUAUGUGCUCCAAACCUUCCUUAAUUUCUGUGUGUAAGGCAUACUUAGUCUUUACCCAUUAUUCUGUUCACAUUCAUUCACUUGAUCAGCCUCCCAACUCUAUGGUAAAGAGUUUACUACAGUUUACUCUAUUAGUAAGGGAGAUUCUGGAGCAAGCCCCACAAAUCAUAGAUUGAAUACCCAUUCAUUAAGAGAGAGAUUUAAAGAUACUUCUAUCCAAACACAUUUUAAAUUUCCAGCACCUUUGAGGUGGUGGAGGUUCAUGGUGGUUGAUAGGGUUUAAAUGACUUGUGAUUCAAGCUCCAUAUUACAAUGUAACAGUGCAAAAGUUCAUUUUUUUAAAUUUAUUUUACUUUAAGUUCUGGUAUACAUGUGUAGAACAUGCGGGUUUGUUACAUAGGUAUACAUGUGCCAUGGUGGUUUGCUGCACCUAUCAAACCGUCACCUAGGUUUUAAGAACCACAUGCAUUAGGUAUUUGACCUAAUGCUCUCCCUCAUGUUGCCCCCCAACUCCCUGACAGGGCCCAGUGUGUGAUGUUCCCCUCCCUGUGUCCAUGUGUUCUCAUUGUUCAACUCCCACUUAUGAGUGAGAACAUGUGGUGUUUGAUUUUCUGUUCCUGUGUUAGUUUGCUGAGAAUGAUGGCUUCCAGCUUCAUCCAUGUCCCUGCAAAGGACACGAACUCAUUCUUUUUUAUGGCUUCAUAAUAUUCCAUGAGUCUGGAUUUGGUUACAGAUAGAGCUGGACAAGCCUUAGCUAUAUCUAAUGGCUUUUGACAUGUUAUAUCAAUUUCUUACUGCUUUUGUAAAUGAAUAUAUUAAGAAGAAAAAAUUACAAAUGACCCUUUCUUCACAAACUUUUAGGGUAAUCAAGUUCAGUUAUUAAAAAAUGGAUGUUUGCAACAUUCAUAGUAAUUAUUUUCAGAAAAUUAAAAAUGAUUAAAAAUUAUAUUUUCAUCCCAUUCAGAUAUUAUAUAUUUAACUGUGAGAUAAUUCUCAGAGAUAAAUGUCAACUUUUAAAAAAUGCUAAAUAAAUUAAAUCAAAAUAUCCCCUCUAAAAUAAAUAAAUUAGCUCCGAUUAUUUCUUCUUUUUAAAUUUUUCCUUAUAGUUGUAAAAAUAAAGUGAACGUUUUGGCUCAUUUCCUCAUUAAAGUUUGAAUUUUCCAGUCAC